rnacentral:rRNA from 1 species
UAGGGAAUCUUCGGCAAUGGACGGAAGUCUGACCGAGCAACGCCGCGUGAGUGAAGAAGGUUUUCGGAUCGUAAAGCUCUGUUGUAAGAGAAGAACGAGUGUGAGAGUGGAAAGUUCACACUGUGACGGUAUCUUACCAGAAAGGGACGGCUAACUACGUGCCAGCAGCCGCGGUAAUACGUAGGUCCCGAGCGUUGUCCGGAUUUAUUGGGCGUAAAGCGAGCGCAGGCGGUUAGAUAAGUCUGAAGUUAAAGGCUGUGGCUUAACCAUAGUAGGCUUUGGAAACUGUUUAACUUGAGUGCAGGAGGGGAGAGUGGAAUUCCAUGUGUAGCGGUGAAAUGCGUAGAUAUAUGGAGGAACACCGGUGGCGAAAGCGGCUCUCUGGCUUGUAACUGACGCUGAGGCUCGAAAGCGUGGGGAGCAAACAGGAUUAGAUACCCUGGUAGUCCACGCUGUAAACGAUGAGUGCUAGGUGUUAGACCCUUUCCGGGGUUUAGUGCCGUAGCUAACGCAUUAAGCACUCCGCCUGGGGAGUACGACCGCAAGGUUG